UGGAUGACUGGUUGGCAGAGAGCUUUAGUCCAGAUUGGUAUUGCCUUACUAAUUUUUCUUUUUAUUCUCGCUCUUCUCAUUUGUUGUGGCCUCCCAUGCCUAAGGAAAUUCAUGCAGAAAACUGUAGACCAAGCAACACCAACCUUCACUCAUCUGACAAUCGAUGAUCAAGACCUCAUCUCACCCUGUAUUCCGCUACAAACUCUCCCUUAUACUGAUGAAG
rnacentral:lncRNA from 1 species